rnacentral:rRNA from 1 species
ACAGCCAAAUCACGCAGAAACACCGGUUCUCGUACGAUCACCGAAGUUAAGCAGCGUAGAGCCAGGUCAGUACUUAGAUGGGGGACCGCUU